rnacentral:rRNA from 1 species
CCUUUUGUAUAAUGGGUCAGCGACUUAUAUUCUGUAGCAAGGUUAACCGAAUAGGGGAGCCGAAGGGAAACCGAGUCUUAACUGGGCGUUAAGUUGCAGGGUAUAGACCCGAAACCCGGUGAUCUAGCCAUGGGCAGGUUGAAGGUUGGGUAACACUAACUGGAGGACCGAACCGACUAAUGUUGAAAAAUUAGCGGAUGACUUGUGGCUGGGGGUGAAAGGCCAAUCAAACCGGGAGAUAGCUGGUUCUCCCCGAAAGCUAUUUAGGUAGCGCCUCGUGAAUUCAUCUCCGGGGGUAGAGCACUGUUUCGGCAAGGGGGUCAUCCCGACUUACCAACCCGAUGCAAACUGCGAAUACCGGAGAAUGUUAUCACGGGAGACACACGGCGGGUGCUAACGUCCGUCGUGAAGAGGGAAACAACCCAGACCGCCAGCUAAGGUCCCAAAGUCAUGGUUAAGUGGGAAACGAUGUGGGAAGGCCCAGACAGCCAGGAUGUUGGCUUAGAAGCAGCCAUCAUUUAAAGAAAGCGUAAUAGCUCACUGGUCGAGUCGGCCUGCGCGGAAGAUGUAACGGGGCUAAACCAUGCACCGAAGCUGCGGCAGCGACGCUUAUGCGUUGUUGGGUAGGGGAGCGUUCUGUAAGCCUGUGAAGGUGUGCUGUGAGGCAUGCUGGAGGUAUCAGAAGUGCGAAUGCUGACAUAAGUAACGAUAAAGCGGGUGAAAAGCCCGCUCGCCGGAAGACCAAGGGUUCCUGUCCAACGUUAAUCGGGGCAGGGUGAGUCGACCCCUAAGGCGAGGCCGAAAGGCGUAGUCGAUGGGAAACAGGUUAAUAUUCCUGUACUUGGUGUUACUGCGAAGGGGGGACGGAGAAGGCUAUGUUGGCCGGGCGACGGUUGUCCCGGUUUAAGCGUGUAGGCUGGUUUUCCAGGCAAAUCCGGAAAACUAAGGCUGAGGCGUGAUGACGAGGCACUACGGUGCUGAAGCAACAAAUGCCCUGCUUCCAGGAAAAGCCUCUAAGCAUCAGGUAACAUCAAAUCGUACCCCAAACCGACACAGGUGGUCAGGUAGAGAAUACCAAGGCGCUUGAGAGAACUCGGGUGAAGGAACUAGGCAAAAUGGUGCCGUAACUUCGGGAGAAGGCACGCUGAUAUGUAGGUGAAGUCCCUCGCGGAUGGAGCUGAAAUCAGUCGAAGAUACCAGCUGGCUGCAACUGUUUAUUAAAAACACAGCACUGUGCAAACACGAAAGUGGACGUAUACGGUGUGACGCCUGCCCGGUGCCGGAAGGUUAAUUGAUGGGGUCAGCGCAAGCGAAGCUCUUGAUCGAAGCCCCGGUAAACGGCGGCCGUAACUAUAACGGUCCUAAGGUAGCGAAAUUCCUUGUCGGGUAAGUUCCGACCUGCACGAAUGGCGUAAUGAUGGCCAGGCUGUCUCCACCCGAGACUCAGUGAAAUUGAACUCGCUGUGAAGAUGCAGUGUACCCGCGGCAAGACGGAAAGACCCCGUGAACCUUUACUAUAGCUUGACACUGAACAUUGAGCCUUGAUGUGUAGGAUAGGUGGGAGGCUUUGAAGUGUGGACGCCAGUCUGCAUGGAGCCGACCUUGAAAUACCACCCUUUAAUGUUUGAUGUUCUAACGUUGACCCGUGAUCCGGGUUGCGGACAGUGUCUGGUGGGUAGUUUGACUGGGGCGGUCUCCUCCUAAAGAGUAACGGAGGAGCACGAAGGUUGGCUAAUCCUGGUCGGACAUCAGGAGGUUAGUGCAAUGGCAUAAGCCAGCUUGACUGCGAGCGUGACGGCGCGAGCAGGUGCGAAAGCAGGUCAUAGUGAUCCGGUGGUUCUGAAUGGAAGGGCCAUCGCUCAACGGAUAAAAGGUACUCCGGGGAUAACAGGCUGAUACCGCCCAAGAGUUCAUAUCGACGGCGGUGUUUGGCACCUCGAUGUCGGCUCAUCACAUCCUGGGGCUGAAGUAGGUCCCAAGGGUAUGGCUGUUCGCCAUUUAAAGUGGUACGCGAGCUGGGUUUAGAACGUCGUGAGACAGUUCGGUCCCUAUCUGCCGUGGGCGCUGGAGAACUGAGGGGGGCUGCUCCUAGUACGAGAGGACCGGAGUGGACGCAUCACUGGUGUUCGGGUUGUCAUGCCAAUGGCACUGCCCGGUAGCUAAAUGCGGAAGAGAUAAGUGCUGAAAGCAUCUAAGCACGAAACUUGCCCCGAGAUGAGUUCUCCCUGACUCCUUGAGAGUCCUGAAGGAACGUUGAAG